rnacentral:miRNA from 1 species
UGCACUUUUUGGUAAGAAGAUGUUAAUAAAAGUUGUUCGUCAUGAUGAGGGCUACAACUUUGCUUAAUAUCCUUUCAACAAAUUAGGCGUAUUUAAGGAGAUACCGCUGCGCAUGCGCAGAACGUAUCUCCUUAUCUUUGCACUUUUUGGUAAGAAGAUGUUAACAAAAGUUGUUCGUCUUGAUGAGGGCUACGACUUUGCUUAAUAUCCUUUUAACAAAUUAUGCG